AAAUCGCGUCCACUAAGUGGUGUCGUCUGCCUGCAAGACCUGCACAGCUCCCAGGCCUAUGGCUUUGGGCACCAGGUGCUGCGCCAGCGUCUGGAAAUGAUUAAUUCCUGGGCACACCUGCUGUGUGCCCAGCCCUGGGGCUGAGGACGGAGCCCUUUCCUGCCAUCAUGGAGCCUGCAUUGCACGGGGGUUCCCAUUCCACCGUGACCUGGCAGGAGAUGUCAGACCGCAGCUGAGGGCCCUGCUGGUUUCCUACGAGGAGGCUGCAGAUGGGAAUGAGGACCUCACGGUCAAGGGCGUGGACACCUCCCGCCUGACAGAUGACACAUUUGUGAGUGGGUCCCCAGAGGUCUGCCCUGGCACCUGACAACCCCGGGAGGCAGGAACAGGUUAGAGCCAACUGUGGAGCUCAUCAGAGAGGUGACUUUCAGUACCAAAAGGGUGUUUUCCAAGGGAAAUCCUGCCGCACAGGGCAAAUGAAAGCAGGUCAGGGCUCACCAGUCACUGCAGAAUCCGCCGGCCCACAUGUCCCUGGUCUUCAGAGGUGGGAACAGCCAGCUGGGAAGGAAUCCACCUGCCCCCAUGGCCUGUGGAUCUGAGGACUCCUCUCCCACCUCCUGUGCCAACCAUUGUUUGGUGAAGGCGCCCUUGCUCCCAGCCCGCUCUCCUCUGACAUUCUUUGGUGAACAUCCCAUCUCCUUUUCUCCAGAACCAGCCGGCUCAGACCACCCACAUAUUUUACAGUUACUGGGCUUCUAUGUUCCACAGAGGGUGCUUGGCUGGGGGGACAGGGGAGGGGACAGAGCCUCAGGCCAGGUGCAGGGAGGACGGUGCUGGCCAUAGGGCUGGGGCAGCCUCAGGUCACACCACCAUUCCAGCACUCUCUGUGUGGCUCCAGGGACUCAGCGUCGCCACCUGGGAGUUGGGAUGGGGGCUCAGGCAGAGGCGCUGGUUCGUUGUCCCACAGAUCAAGCCUCUCUGAGUCCUCGGCUGUCUUGGUGGAGACUCCAAAGGUGAGGCCGGACUGCAUGUCCCAUGACCCUUCUCCACCGGGCAGGGCCAAGGACCCUGCAGCAAGGGCCCUUCAUGCCGGGCUCACCACCCUGUUCCCUCCAUGACCUCGCCAAAAGCCUCCCGCUCCCACCCCCGGCUUUGGGACGGUCAAACAGGUGAGGGCUGGGGGUCCUGCCCCGGGGGGAGGAUGACAGGCGACGGGAGGAGUGCCUGGCAUGGCCGAAGAGAACACGGCAGUGGGGUGUGUGUCAGCAGCAGUGGCACAGCCAAACCCCGGCAGGCUUCAUGCAGAAGGCGGCAUCUGGGGAGAAGUUAAAAGCUGAGCAGGAGCCAGCGGGUGAAGUGGGAAACGGAGAAAGGGCUAUAGCCUGUGCCCAGCUCUCCCUGUCAGCCUGAGAUGAGGGACAUCUUUUGUGUCCGGGCACUGCCUGGGUUGCUUGGACAGAAGCCUCAGAGCUGGAAGGAGCUGAGAAACCACAAGCUCCAAUGCUCACGCCCCAUAGGGGACCGAGGAACCGCAGAAGGGACCGCACCUGCCCGGUGGCCAGCAACGGAAGGACGGCAGGGAGCGAACACACUCCAGCCCCUACGGUCUCUCCGCUCUCCCAGCUGAGCUGUCUUCCCCGGAGGCCGGGCUGCAACCCGAGAAGGCGCCGCGCCAUCGGCCCUCACCCUGCUCCGCCUAAGCUGCUGCUUUUCCUCUGCAAAUGCCCUGGGCUGGACGUCAAACCACAGUCAGGUAGGGGCGGCCCAGACCAGGGACCAGCAGCUGGUUCCCUCUGCCUGGUCUCACUUCUAAAGCCACUGGAAGAGGAAACACAUAAAAUGUGACUUUGCAGAGGAAUUCCAAUAAACAAGAUGUGUUUCCAAGUCUUCUGAGGCUGCCGAGACUGAGUAGCUGCGUGUGAGCAGCCACAACUCCUCUGUUGUCCUCCUGCAAAGUGUCCCCGCCCUCCCACUCAGGUCGCGUUCCUCCGGCCGCCCCCGGCUGCUCCCGCCACAGGAGACUGGACGGUGGGCUCUGGCCUUGGGGACCUCCGGCCCUGCCUGCAGCAGGCCCCAGUGUGUGUGGGCGAGAGGGCCGGGCCAGCUGACUCCUGUCUUUCUUUGGGACCACGUCAUCAAGCGGGCUGGAGCCAGAGGCUGGGCCCCUCUGUGUCCCGGGGAUCCUCACCCCCCAGGUCCCCAGUGCUGUCCUUGUCACCACUGAACGGCAGUUUCUCCCCACCCCGUGCUUCAGUUUACCUGUCCGGACCAGGGGUGGCAACCUCUUUUCCAGAACGGGGCAGAAGGUGAAUGCAGUUCACUCUAGUUCUCUGCAUUGUGUCUUCUUUUUAAAGAAAAUAACCCUUUACAAAUGAAGGGUUGGCCGGGUGCAGUGGCUCACGCCUGUAAUCCCAGCACUUUAA
rnacentral:lncRNA from 10 species